rnacentral:rRNA from 1 species
UACGUAGGUGGCAAGCGUUGUCCGGAUUUACUGGGCGUAAAGAGCGCGCAGGCGGUCGUUCAAGUCGAGUGUGAAAGCCCCCGGCUUAACCGGGGAGGGUCGUUGGGGACGGCGGGGCUUGAGGGCGGGAGAGGGUGGUGGAAUUCCCAGUGUAGAGGUGAAAUUCGUAGAUAUUGGGAAGAACACCGGUGGCGAAGGCGGCGCUCUGGACCGAGACUGACGCUGAGGCGCGAAAGCGUGGGGAGCAAACAGG